CCCUUCUUGGCAGAUGAAUCAGACAGGGAGAGAAAAUCUUUUUCUGUCUGGUGUUUUUCAAAAUUUUGAUGAUGGACUCACAUCAAGGAUGAAGAGCUUUGAUGUCAUUUGAACACCACCACCAUCACCACCACCAGCAUCAACAAACAAACAAGCAAACAAGCGUGAACUCAGGAGCCCUGUGGCCCAGCCUCCAGUCCAUUUCCUCACUGUGAUCUGGCUAAGUCACCUCCCCUCCACCUCAGUUCAGUCACCUACACAACAGGAAUGGUGGCUCCUGGCGUGAAAAGUUCUUAGGAGCAUUCAGCAUGAUGCUGUGUGGAGCACUUGGAAACUGCGUGUGCAUCACCUCAUAUUUCUGGCCACAGGUCAUUCAGACAUCUGCCCUUUGCCCUGGAGGAGAACCACUAGGGACUUGUGCCCAUAAGCACCAAUUCUGGCUUUUACCCUACCCAUCCUUUGCCAUCCCAAACUAUGCCAUCAACAAAUUCUAGAAAUCAAGUUAGAAAUGCUGUUCCCACGAGGGUCUCUGUGGUCUCUCAGAACAACAAUCAGCUGGCCCUGCUGGGCAGAUGUUGCCCAAUCCUAACCCACACUUAGCUAUCAACUUAAUCAUUCUCAACUAAAAACACCUACCUGAACACUUUUAGGGGUUAAGAAUAGUAUAAUCUCACUUAGC
rnacentral:lncRNA from 1 species